GAGAGGCAGAAUGGCCAUGGAGCCAGAAGUCAGGAGGCCUGCACUGUCUUGCUGCCCUGCCACUAGCUGGAGGAGAGCAGACCAGCCUGAGGGAAGCUGGCAGACCUUCACCACCUCAUUUCUAAACUGGAGAUUGCGGUCUUUGGUCAAACAAUUAGAGAGAGGGGAAGCUUCAGUGGUAGAUCUUAAGAAGAAUUUGGAAUAUGCAGCCACAGUGCUUGAAUCUGUGUAUAUUGAUGAAACAAGGAGACUCCUGGAUACAGAGGAUGAGCUCAGUGACAUUCAGUCAGAUGCUGUGCCUUCUGAGGUCCGAGACUGGCUGGCCUCCACCUUCACGCGGCAGAUGGGGAUGAUGCUCAGGAGGAGCGAGGAGAAGCCCCGGUUCAAGAGCAUCGUUCACGCAGUGCAGGCUGGGAUAUUUGUGGAGAGAAUGUAUAGACGGACAUCAAACAUGGUUGGACUGAGCUAUCCACCAGCUGUUAUUGAGGCAUUAAAGGAUGUGGACAAGUGGUCCUUUGACGUCUUUUCCCUCAAUGAGGCCAGUGGGGAUCAUGCACUGAAAUUUAUUUUCUA
rnacentral:sRNA from 1 species